rnacentral:rRNA from 1 species
AUUGAACGCUGGCGGCAUGCUUUACACAUGCAAGUCGGACGAGUGGCGAACGGGUGAGUAAUAUAUUGGAACGUCCCGAGUAAUGGGGGAUAACCAAUCGACAGAUUGGCUAAUACCGCAACUUCUUCGAGCGGCCAAUAUCUGAUUAUCUAGUUGGUGGGGUAAAGGCCUACCAAGGCGACGAUCAGUAGCGGGUCUGAGAGGAUGAUCCGCCACACUGGAACUGAGACACGGCCCAGACUCCUACGGGAGGCAGCAGUGGGGAAUUUUGGACAAUGGGCGCAAGCCUGAUGCAGCCAUGCCGCGUGGAUGAAGAAGGCUUUCGGGUUGUAAAGGACUUUUGUUAGGGAAGCGGUAUCUAAAGAAUAAGCACCGGCUAACUACGUGCCAGCAGCCGCGGUAAUUC